CUCGGCCUUCCAAAGUGCUGGGAUUACAGGUGUGACCCAUCAUGCCUGGCCUGGUUUUGCCUCCUACUUCUCUGGCGAGUCUGUCUUGACUUCCCUGAUAGGUCCCAAGGCUCUGUGUAUAGCCCUCUUUUCUCUGCACAUUAUACACUCCCUGGGUUACAGACCUCAUCCAUUCCUGUGGCUUCCGUUAACCUCUCUGGGCUGAAGGAUUCCUGAACUGCUAUUUUCAGUCAGACCUUUCCUAAACUCCUGACCCAUAAAACUGAUGAACGGCCCCUUGGCCAUCUCCAUCUGGAUGUCCCUCAGGUAUCUCACCUUCAACAUUUCCACACCUCAGUGCCUCACCUUCCUCUUCAAUCUGCGGCUUCCCACUGUGUUCGCCGCCUUAGCUGAUGGCCAACUGGCAGCAGCCAACUGGCCACCCUUGGCUCCUCCUCCUCUCCUCAGUCAACCUUCUAGUAGUUUCUCCAGCCCAUGGCCUCCCCAGCUGUAGCUUGGGCUCCCCAGCAGUCUCCUUGUUAAUGACCCUCUCCCUUCUCAUCCAUUCUUUACACAGCUGCCCACGGCAUCUUUGUAAAGUGAAAAUUUGACUGUUUCUUUCUUGCUUAAAGUCUUUAAAAGGCUCCUUACUCUCUACCAGAGAAAUGCAAACUUCUGUGCCUGGCAUUUUAACUGGGCCCUGUUUACCUUACCUACCUUGUCUCUAGCACUCUGUCCUUGUUUUCCCUCUGCAAUCGAGCAGUACUGACCAGCUGCAGUUCCCUGAGCAUGCCAGCCUGUUUCAUGCCCUGUACUUUUAUACAUUAGGUUUCUACUGCCAGCCCCGCCACUCUGUUCACCUAGCACUUACUAACCCUUUGAAGGUUUGCUAACUACUGUUGAAUUAAAACUACUGUUGAAUUAAAUUAGUCAAUACAACAUUUCCCCUGACUUUGUGGGCUCUGGGAAUGGUUCAAGUGAACAUGACAAGGGCCCAUCCUCAAAGAGCCUAAAUCGAGUAAACCUGGAUGGCAGCUUUGGUCAAUGGAACCAAGAGCAUCAGAAACUAUAGUAGGCUGGGGCUGGGGGAAGGGGCGACAACAGCUGCAGGAAGGAAUUCCUAUCAACCCCUAAAAGGCAGUCAGUGGAGUGAAGUGACGGAGGAGGGGGAGACAGGGCUUCCAUGUAUGGCUGAUUGUACUUCAGUCAGCAGUUGCCUUCUGUUUUUUGGGCCAAGAAUGCCAUCAGAGGUGCCUCUCCAGGGAGACCAGAGAUCAAACAGGCCGCGAUGCUCACCCUCCCUCAGCGGCAUGGUCCCGUCCCUUGCGUGCUUCACUGAGACGGACCUCGCUCUUUUGGCCCUAGCUGCGUGGCAGUCAUUCAAGCUGCAGGAUCUAGAACUGGGCUGCCUGGGUUUGAAUCCUUGAUUCUCUCUCCCCAGCUGCAUGACCACAGGCAGAGAGCUCCAAGAGGGCACAUUCGGGUCUGGUCAUAGCUGUGCACUUGAAUCCCAUCAAGAGGCUGGAAUGGAGUAGAGGCCUCAGUGUACACGGCUGCAGGAGACUAGGUAGAAAGGUGAGCUGGACUCAUGGCCAGGUGCUAGCUAAUAUAGCCCCUGCAUGAGAGAAGAGAGGCCUCAUCCCCGGUUCAGUCCUUGGCUCCUCACGCUCUCUUGAUGGAGCAGGGCCCCUGAAAAGGUGGAAGUCAUCUUCUUCCGUGAUCGUAAGCAAUCCCUCGCCUGGUUCAAGAGCAAAUCCUAUGUGAAACAAAUCAGUGACCCUGCUGCACACCUGUGCUCCCAACGACAAAUCCCAAGGCUGCUGGAAUUAUCUGAGGCCCAAAUGACAAGACCCCGGCAGUCAUGCUGACAAGCCCUCCAAACCAUGCUUCAAUCAAGGACUGUCAUC
rnacentral:lncRNA from 1 species